rnacentral:rRNA from 1 species
UACGUAGGUGGCAAGCGUUGUCCGGAUUUACUGGGCGUAAAGGAUGCGUAGGCGGAUAUUUAAGUGAGAUGUGAAAUACCCGAGCUUAACUUGGGUGCUGCAUUUCAAACUGGAUAUCUAGAGUGUGGGAGAGGAGAAUGGAAUUCCUAGUGUAGCGGUGAAAUGCGUAGAGAUUAGGAAGAACACCAGUGGCGAAGGCGAUUCUCUGGACCAUAACUGACGCUGAGGCAUGAAAGCGUGGGUAGCAAACAGG